CCGGUAACUACUUUUUCAGCGCCUGAUCUGAAUCAGGAAAAAAAGAACAUUUGCAAGUGUCAUGUAAAUUUUGUGCAAAUUAAACCCGCCCUGCGUGAAACAGCAAGUCCUUCCUUGUCUUCUUAUUCGUUAUGAUUCGUCGACUGAAUGAUUCAAAAACUUGUAGCCUACCGCUUACGACCAGAUAAUCCACAUAAAAUAUCGAUAUAUAUCAUAUCUUGUUAGAUCGCAUAAGUAGCUAAAAAGAAAUUUGCAUCUAAAGCCUUGGAGGCCCAAACCACAUUUCAGCAGGACCAUCUCACUCCGCCCCUCGGUCAACAUUAGACCUGCUCUAAAGUGCGGCAGGUGCGUGGAGAGAUCAGCACCUUUACAGCUGCGGGAAGAGGACAGGGGGCAUGAUUUUUGUCGACUAUAAAAACCCGUCACUGGCCAAGCUGAUUCACAGCACCUGCAGGUACGGAAACGAGCGUGUCGAUUGAGGCCUUCCACAGCACAGAGCAACCUGGAUGUGAAACUACAGAUGUGAGCAAGACAGGUUAUGGGCAGGGAACACAGCUGAAAAAUUAGAUGAAUGAAAAGCUACGGAUUCACAUUUUUGACAGUAUUUUCUACAGUAACUUUGGAGUUUAUCACAACGCACCCCCAGAAUUUCGAUGGAUAAACUGCACUUGCUUUACGUUGAGCCACACGCACAAUACAUGUGGGUUCAGUUUUGUUCGUUCGGCUCGCGUUAAGCAAGUGCAGAACUUCUUCAGUGCCAAACUUCUGGGACAUUUUUGGAUUAGAAGCAAGAGUAACUGCUGUGCUCUUUUUUUUUUUUUUUUUUUUUUUUUUGGAAUUGUUUUUUAAAUGGAAAAAAAUGUAUCUCAAAAUGAAUGAGCCACAACUGAUCAUUUGUCUUCUGCAAUGGUCAUGAUUUACAGUGUCAUCCGUUAUCCAACAUCAUGUUUGUUGAGUUAUCCACUUCCUCUCUCCUGUGCUGUUUAUAAAUGAGGGUGAAGUUCUCAUGCUGCAGUGAUGUAAUGGCAAAAUAAAGUUCUUCGUAACUCCUCA